GCAUUAAUGGGGUAGUGGUAACCUGGGUCGUUGCCAUGUUGGCCAAGGCUCUCCUGGUUCGACCCGCCGGGGGUUCGAUUCCCCCUUAAUGCA